rnacentral:rRNA from 1 species
GUUGCAGGGUAUAGACCCGAAACCCGGUGAUCUAGCCAUGGGCAGGUUGAAGGUUGGGUAACACUAACUGGAGGACCGAACCGACUAAUGUUGAAAAAUUAGCGGAUGACCUGUGGCUGGGGGUGAAAGGCCAAUCAAACCGGGAGAUAGCUGGUUCUCCCCGAAAGCUAUUUAGGUAGCGCCUCGUGAAUUCAUCUCCGGGGGUAGAGCACUGUUUCGGCUAGGGGGCCAUCCCGGCUUACCAACCCGAUGCAAACUGCGAAUACCGGAGAAUGUUAUCACGGGAGACACACGGCGGGUGCUAACGUCCGUCGUGAAGAGGGAAACAACCCAGACCGCCAGCUAAGGUCCCAAAGUCAUGGUUAAGUGGGAAACGAUGUGGGAAGGCCCAGACAGCCAGGAUGUUGGCUUAGAAGCAGCCAUCAUUUAAAGAAAGCGUAAUAGCUCACUGGUCGAGUCGGCCUGCGCGGAAGAUGUAACGGGGCUAAACCAUGCACCGAAGCUGCGGCAGCGACACUGUGUGUUGUUGGGUAGGGGAGCGUUCUGUAAGCCUGUGAAGGUGUGUCGUGAGGCAUGCUGGAGGUAUCAGAAGUGCGAAUGCUGACAUAAGUAACGAUAAAGCGGGUGAAAAGCCCGCUCGCCGGAAGACCAAGGGUUCCUGUCCAACGUUAAUCGGGGCAGGGUGAGUCGACCCCUAAGGCGAGGCCGAAAGGCGUAGUCGAUGGGAAACGGGUUAAUAUUCCCGUACUUGGUGUUACUGCGAAGGGGGGACGGAGAAGGCUAUGUUGGCCGGGCGACGGUUGUCCCGGUUUAAGCGUGUAGGUGUGUGU